GAAUUUAGCAGAGAUGCUUUAGUGCCUUCGGGAACUCUGAGACAGGUGCUGCAUGGCUGUCGUCAGCUCGUGUUGUGAAAUGUUGGGUUAAGUCCCGCAACGAGCGCAACCCCUAUCCUUUGUUGCCAGCGAUUCGGUCGGGAACUCAAAGGAGACUGCCGGUGAUAAACCGGAGGAAGGUGGGAUGACGUCAAGUCAUCAUGGCCCUUACGAGUAGGGCUACACACGUGCUACAAUGGCGCAUACAAAGAGAAGCGACCUCGCGAGAGCAAGCGGACCUCAUAAAGUGCGUCGUAGUCCGGAUUGGAGUCUGCAACUCGACUCCAUGAAGUCGGAAUCGCUAGUAAUCGUAGAUCAGAAUGCUACGGUGAAUACGUUCCCGGGCCUUGUACACACCGCCCGUCACACCAUGGGAGUGGGUUGCAAAAGAAGUAGAUAGCUUAACCUUCGGGAGGGCGUUUACCACUUUGUGAUUCAUGACUGGGGUGAAGUCGUAACAAGGUAGGCGUAGCGAG
rnacentral:rRNA from 1 species